rnacentral:rRNA from 1 species
AGAGUUUGAUCAUGGCUCAGAUUGAACGCUGGCGGCAGGCCUAACACAUGCAAGUCGAGCGGUAACAGAAAGUAGCUUGCUACUUUGCUGACGAGCGGCGGACGGGUGAGUAAUGCCUGGGGAUAUGCCUUGAUGUGGGGGAUAACCAUUGGAAACGAUGGCUAAUACCGCAUAAUCUCUUCGGAGCAAAGAGGGGGACCUUCGGGCCUCUCGCGUCAAGAUUAGCCCAGGUGGGAUUAGCUAGUAGGUGAGGUAAUGGCUCACCUAGGCGACGAUCUCUAGCUGGUCUGAGAGGAUGAUCAGCCACACUGGAACUGAGACACGGUCCAGACUCCUACGGGAGGCAGCAGUGGGGAAUAUUGCACAAUGGGCGCAAGCCUGAUGCAGCCAUGCCGCGUGUGUGAAGAAGGCCUUCGGGUUGUAAAGCACUUUCAGUCGUGAGGAAGGCAGUUGCGUUAAUAGCGUAAUUGUUUGACGUUAGCGACAGAAGAAGCACCGGCUAACUCCGUGCCAGCAGCCGCGGUAAUACGGAGGGUGCGAGCGUUAAUCGGAAUUACUGGGCGUAAAGCGCAUGCAGGUGGUUAGUUAAGUCAGAUGUGAAAGCCCGGGGCUCAACCUCGGAAUUGCAUUUGAAACUGGCUAGCUAGAGUACUGUAGAGGGGGGGUGGAAUUUCAGGUGUAGCGGUG